rnacentral:rRNA from 1 species
GAUGAACGCUGGCGGCGUGCCUAAUACAUGCCAGUCGAGCGAACGGACGAGAAGCUUGCUUCUCUGAUGUUAGCGGCGGACGGGUGAGUAACACGUGGAUAACCUACCUAUAAGACUGGGAUAACUUCGGGAAACCGGAGCUAAUACCGGAUAAUAUUUUGAACCGCAUGGUUCAAAAGUGAAAGACGGUCUUGCUGUCACUUAUAGAUGGAUCCGCGCUGUAUUAGCUAGUUGGUAAGGUAACGGCUUACCAAGGCAACGAUGCAUAGCCGACCUGAGAGGGUGAUCGGCCACACUGGAACUGAGACACGGUCCAGACUCCUACGGGAGGCAGCAGUAGGGAAUCUUCCGCAAUGGGCGAAAGCCUGACGGAGCAACGCCGCGUGAGUGAUGAAGGUCUUCGGAUCGUAAAACUCUGUUAUUAGGGAAGAACAUAUGUGUAAGUAACUGUGCACAUCUUGACGGUACCUAAUCAGAAAGCCACGGCUAACUACGUG